GAAGCUGAGGCGAAGGCGUCUACCUAGAGGGUUUCUGUCGAUCAAGGGCGAGAGUAGGAGUAUCCAACAGGAUUAGAGACCCUGGUAGUUCCUACCUUAAACGAUGCCGACAGGAGUUUGUCAUUUGUUAAUGGCAGAAUCUUUGGAGAAAUCAUAGUUCUUGGGCUCUGGGGGAACUACGACCGCAAGGCUGAAACUUGAAGGAAUUGACGGAAGGGCACACCAGGGGUGGAGCCUGUGGCUUAAUUUGAAUCAACACGGGGAAACUUACCAGGACCAGAUGUUUUUUAUGACUGACAGGCUUCGGGUCUUUCAGGAUAUUGUUUUUGGUGGUGCAUGGCCGUUGGUGGUGCGUGGGUUGACCUGUCUAGCGUUGAUUCAGCUAACGAGCGAGAUUAUCGCCAAUUAUUUACUUUGCCGAAGUCCUUCGGUUAAAGUUCUAAUUGGGACUCCCUGCGAUUUUAGCAGGUGGAAGAGGGUAGCAAUAACAGGUCCGUGAUGCCCUUUAGAUGCUCUGGGCUGCACGCGUGCUACAAUGUUAGGAUCAAUAGGACUGCGAGCCUGAGAGGGUGCGCUACUCUUAUAAUCCCUAACGUAGUUGGGAUUGACGUUUGUAAUCAGCGUCAUGAACCAGGAAUCCCUUGUAAAUGUGUGUCAACAACGCACGUUGAAUACGUCCCUGCCCUUUGUACACACCGCCCGUCGCUCCUACCGAUUGGAUGACUCGGUGAAAUCACCGGAUGCUUACGAGCAGAAAGUGAUUAAAUCACGUUAUCUAGAGGAAGGAGAAGUCGUAACAAGGUAACGGUAGGUGAACCUGCCGUUGGAUC
rnacentral:rRNA from 1 species